AAUAUAAAAUCUCAAACAACAACAAAACAAAAAAGAAAGAAAAAACGGGAUCGAAAGUAUCCAGUCCUAGGUUUUUUUUUCCUCACUUUUUUUUUUCUUUUUUUUU
rnacentral:ribozyme from 12 species